GCCAUGCUAGUCUACCGGACCUAGUCCGGGGCAGAUAGCUGAGUAACACGUGGUUAACCUACCCUGUGGAUCGAGAUAACCUCGCUAACGUGAGGACAACCUCGAAUAAGAGAGAACUACUGGAAAUGUUUUCUCUCAGAAAUGAUCCGUCGCCACAGGAUGGGACCGUGGCUGAUUAGGUCGUUGGUGAGGUAAAGGCUCACCAAGCCGAUAAUCAGUAGCAGCCGUGAAAGCGGGAGCUGUCAGUCGGCUUCUGAGACAAGAAGCCGGACCCUACGGGGUGCAGCAGGCGCGAAACCUUUACAAUGCACGAAAGUGCGAUAAGGGGACUCCGAGUGCGGUCUUCUCACAAAGAAGGCCGCUUUUCUGCACUGUAAGGAGGUGCCGGAACAAGGGGUGGGCAAGACUGCUGCCAGCCGCCGCGGU
rnacentral:rRNA from 1 species